rnacentral:tRNA from 1 species
GGGGCGCUAGCUCAACUGGCAGAGCAGCGGCCUUUUAAGCCGUUGGUUCCGGGUUCGAGUCCCGGGCGCCCCA